AGCCGUGUGUUAGAAACAAAGCGAACUAUUCUUUCGCCUUUUACUAAAGAAUACCGUGUUUCUGACACUUAACACGGUUUACAUAAUUUUUGAAAGAGUCUUAUUAAUUUAGGACU
rfam:Vigna angularis cultivar Jingnong 6 chromosome 11, whole genome shotgun sequence.